CGGUAGACGAUGGGGAUGCGUUCCAUUAGAUAGUAGGCGGGGUAACGGCCCACCNANUCAACGAUGGAUAGGGGUUCUGAGAGGAAGGUCCCCCACAUUGGAACUGAGACACGGUCCAAACUCCUACGGGAGGCAGCAGUGAGGAAUAUUGGUCAAUGGGCGAUGGCCUGAACCAGCCAAGUAGCGUGAAGGAUGACUGCCCUAUGGGUUGUAAACUUCUUUUAUAAAGGAAUAAAGUCGGGUAUGCAUACCCGUUUGCAUGUACUUUAUGAAUAAGGAUCGGCUAACUCCGUGCCAGCAGCCGCGGUAAUACGGAGGAUCCGAGCGUUAUCCGGAUUUAUUGGGUUUAAAGGGAGCGUAGAUGGAUGUUUAAGUCAGUUGUGAAAGUUUGCGGCUCAACCGUAAAAUUGCAGUUGAUACUGGAUGUCUUGAGUGCAGUUGAGGCAGGCGGAAUUCGUGGUGUAGCGGUGAAAUGCUUAGAUAUCACGAAGAACUCCGAUUGCGAAGGCAGCCUGCUAAGCUGCAACUGACAUUGAGGCUCGAAAGUGUGGGUAUCAAACAGGAUUAGAUACCCUGGUAGUCCACACGGUAAACGAUGAAUACUCGCUGUUUGCGAUAUACGGCAAGCGGCCAAGCGAAAGCGUUAAGUAUUCCACCUGGGGAGUACGCCGGCAACGGUGAAACUCAAAGGAAUUGACGGGGGCCCGCACAAGCGGAGGAACAUGUGGUUUAAUUCGAUGAUACGCGAGGAACCUUACCCGGGCUUAAAUUGCACUCGAAUGAUCCGGAAACGGUUCAGCUAGCAAUAGCGAGUGUGAAGGUGCUGCAUGGUUGUCGUCAGCUCGUGCCGUGAGGUGUCGGCUUAAGUGCCAUAACGAGCGCAACCCUUGUUGUCAGUUACUAACAGGUGAUGCUGAAGACUCUGACGAGACUGCCAUCGUAAGAUGUGAGGAAGGUGGGGAUGACGUCAAAUCANCACGGCCCUUACGUCCGGGGCUACACACGUGUUACNAUGGGGGGUACAGAGGGCCGCUACCACGCGAGUGGAUGCCAAUCCCUAAAACCCCUCUCANUUCAGACUGGAGUCUGCAACCCGACUCCGCGAANCUGGAUUCGCUAGUAAUCGCGCAUCANCCACGGCGCGGUGAAUACNUUCCCGGGCCUUGUACA
rnacentral:rRNA from 1 species